CAAAUGGCUAGUAGUUCGAAAUGUGAGGUGUUAUGCUGACAGAUCGUGGGGAUUGCGCUUUCUCUGCGAUCAGUUACCACACUGAGUACGCAACAGUGGCUAGUGAAAGGAGAGCCCCGAUAUGGGGAAUGUUGGUUGCUACAAACCGUUUUCUUUGUAGAAAUCGACUUUCUCGAGAAACAAUUGACUCCAGAAAAGCUUCUCGUGAUGCGACUAUCAUACAAGACGGCAGAGAUUCUAGAUGAGUAACCUGGAUAACUUCCAUUGUUGCAUCUGCCAGAAGACAAAUUACAUGUGUGGUUUAGGCAUAAGUCACCUAUGUUUCGAUUAAUUAACAUUUUCUGGAUCUCGAUAAGUUCAUCUUUCAAGAUUCUCCACAGAGUUACACAGAAAGUGCCUUUUCUUCAGGGAGCUGCCAUGACCAGUUUUCUGAAGAAAUGAGUGCAACUAAGUUUGUAUAGCUGCAUUGCAUUUUGACUCGUAGUGCUCUUAGCUAUUGUACUUUGUACAUUUGAUAGAUUAUUUGCAGGAUCUUUUGGGAGACCAGCCAUGCUGAAAGAGAUUUCUGAAUAAAUUUGCAUACAUGAUGUAUAUCUAUUUAUAUCUAUUUAU